CUCACUGUCCAGAAAUGGCUCCAGGCUGAGUUGCACCCUCAAAGCUUUCCUCUGUUUCACCUCUGUUCAGACCCAAUGCAGGCCCCUUGCAGCCCAGAGGAAUAAAGAGAUGCCUAGAAAGAGGCCGUGGCCACUUGUUCUCUUUUGUUUUCUUCACUGCGGAGGACUGAGCAAGCCCACUAUCUGAGCAAUGUGGAAAUUCCAGCCCUCACAGGGCUUCACACCUUCAAGGGGAAGAACAUUGCGCCAUGAAACUUCCUUGCUCUAGGCCUGCCAGGGGAUUCUGAGGCCUGCUGCCCACAACCUGCUGCCCAGACUGAUGGUGUCCAGACAGAGGGAGGGUGACAGAUGGAUGCUGGGAGAGGGUACACAGCCCUGUGAAUGCAUCUCUUGGAGUCUGGGGUUUGGUGCCUCUUCCUUUCUUCCUGGUGCUAAUGGUUUGCUGGAUUGAGUUUGUACUGCUUGCAAGAGCUAAUUGUGGAAUUUUCAGAAAUUUUGCAAAGCAGUUAUUAAAUUGUCAUCAUUUUAAAAAUUAAAUUAUAACAACUCAUGAGAAAAUAAGUUUUGUUUUUGUUUUUGUUUUUGGGACAGUCUUGCUCUGUCGCCCAGGCUGGAGUGCAGUGGCACAAUCUUGGCUCACUACAACAUCCGCCUCCCGGGCCCAAGCGAUCCUCCAACCUCAGCCUCCCGAGUAGCUGAGAUUAUAGGUGCAUGCCACACACCCGUCUAAUUUUUUAAUUUUUAGUAGAGACGGGAUUUCACCAUGUUGCCCAGGCUGGUCUUAAACUCUUGAGCUCAG
rnacentral:lncRNA from 10 species